rnacentral:rRNA from 1 species
AUUGAACGCUGGCGGCAUGCCUUACACAUGCAAGUCGAACGGCAGCACGGGAGCUUGCUCCUGGUGGCGAGUAGCGAACGGGUGAGUAAAGCAUCGGAACGUGCCCUGAAGUGGGGGAUAACGUAGCGAAAGUUACGCUAAUACCGCAUAUUCUGUGAGCAGGAAAGCAGGGGAUCGCAAGACCUUGUGCUUUAGGAGCGGCCGAUGUCGGAUUAGCUAGUUGGUGGGGUAAAGGCCUACCAAGGCGACGAUCCGUAGCGGGUCUGAGAGGAUGAUCCGCCACACUGGGACUGAGACACGGCCCAGACUCCUACGGGAGGCAGCAGUGGGGAAUUUUGGACAAUGGGCGCAAGCCUGAUCCAGCCAUGCCGCGUGAGUGAAGAAGGCCUUCGGGUUGUAAAGCUCUUUCGGUGGGGAAGAAAUUGCACUCUCUAAUACAGGGUGUAGAUGACGGUACCCGCAUAAGAAGCACCGGCUAACUACGUGCCAGCAGCCGCAGUAAGAC